rnacentral:rRNA from 1 species
ACCCGCACAAGCGGUGGAGCAUGUGGUUUAAUUCGACGCAACGCGAAGAACCUUACCAGGGCUUGACAUCCUCUGACCGCAUAUGAAGUAUGUUUUUCCUGGGCUUCGGUCAGACAGAGAGACAGGUGGUGCAUGGUUGUCGUCAGCUCGUGUCGUGAGAUGUUCGGUUAAGUCCGCUAACGAGCGCAACCCUCGUCGUAUGUUAUAUGUGUCAUACGAGACUGCCGGUAAAAAGCCGGAGGAAGGUGAGGAUGAUGUCAAGUCAGCAUGACCUUUAUAUCCAGGGCUACACACACGCUACAAUGGUCUGUACAAUGGGUAGCCAAGCCGCGAGGCGGAGCCAAUCCUGAAAGCAGGCCUCAGUUCAGAUUGCAGUCUGAAACUCGACUGCAUGAAGUCGGAGUUGCUAGUAAACGCAGGUCAGCUAUACUGCGUUGAAUACGUUCCCGGGGCUU